UCACAUGAAUCCAUGUAUAAACCAUUUCGUGAACUGUCUUCUCACUAUUGAUGAAGGUACUUUGGUGUGAAUAACACCUAAGUCUUUUCUUUCAAUGGUAAAAACCUGUGAAACCCCCUUUAAACUUUUGAACUAACGUCUUCAUACUCCAAUCAAACGGAGAUGAAGUUUCUUACGAAACAAAGAA
rnacentral:misc_RNA from 1 species